rnacentral:tRNA from 1 species
ACUUGAAUAGCUUAAAUUUUUAAAGCUUAACUCUGAAGAAGUUAUGAUAGGUUCACCUUUUAAGUA